UCAAUCAUUAGGGUCCAAAAUGGCCCAAGUGGCCCAUCGAAGUUCAAGCCGACUUUAAAAUUAGGGUUUUACCACUAUAUAAAUAAAUCCGAAGCCCUACCUUCCUGAACGUCGUCGAUCUCGUCACUCGCCUCGUUCGCCACACCAUUGUUCUUCUUUGGUGAUUCGGUUAGCAGUUCUUCAACAUGAGGGCUAAGUGGAAGAAGAAGAGAAUGAGGAGAUUGAAGAGGAAGCGCCGAAAGAUGAGGCAGAGAUCCAAGUAGUUUGUGUCUUCUUUAAAUAAAAAAGACAAUCGUUCCUUUAGUUUCUACUGAUCUAGGACGAGUAAUAGUUCAUUUUCUUGUGUUUUUGUUGGAUUUUUAUCGAUUUCUUUUAGUUUCGAUGAGCAAUUUUGUUGAACUUACUUCCCUCUGGGAUCUACAUUAUUGAAUUCACUUUCUGGAGUUUCUGAAAUAUCAGUUGAUGAUAUGUUGUUUGUCACCAUUAACUUAAAAACUUGAUAUUUUUU